CCCUUAGAUGUUCUGGGCCGCACGCGCGCUACACUGAUGCAUUCAACGAGUGUACCUUGGCCGAGAGGCCUGGGCAAUCUUUUGAACGUGCAUCGUGAUAGGGAUAGAUUAUUGCAAUUAUUAAUCUUGAACGAGGAAUUCCUAGUAAACGCAGAUCAUCAAUCUGCAUUGAUUACGUCCCUGCCCUUUGUACACACCGCCCGUCGCGCCUACCGAUUGGAUGGUCCGGUGAAGCCUCGGGAUUGUGGCGGUUGCCUUUAUUGGUGGCCGCCGCGAGAACUUGUCUAAACCUUAUCAUCUAGAGGAAGGUGAANUCGUANCA
rnacentral:rRNA from 1 species